rnacentral:rRNA from 1 species
UGGGGAAUAUUGCACAAUGGGCGCAAGCCUGAUGCAGCCAUGCCGCGUGUGUGAAGAAGGCCUUCGGUUGUAAAGCACUUUCAGCGAGGAGGAAGGUGGUGAACUUAAUACGUUCAUCAAUUGACGUUACUCGCAGAAGAAGCACCGGCUAACUCCGUGCCAGCAGCCGCGGUAAUACGGAGGGUGCAAGCGUUAAUCGGAAUUACUGGGCGUAAAGCGCACGCAGGCGGGUUUGUUAAGUCAGAUGUGAAAUCCCCGGGCUCAACCUGGGAACUGCAUUUGAAACUGGCAAGCUAGAGUCUCGUAGAGGGGGGUAGAAUUCCAGGUGUAGCGGUGAAAUGCGUAGAGAUCUGGAGGAAUACCGGUGGCGAAGGCGGCCCCCUGGACGAAGACUGACGCUCAGGUGCGAAAGCGUGGGGAGCAAACAGAUUAGAUACCCUGGUAGUCCACGCUGUAAACGAUGUCGAUUUGGAGGUUGUGCCCUUGAGGCGUGGCUUCCGGAGCUAACGCGUU